CUAUUGAAAAAAAAAAAAAAAAAAAAAAAAAAAAAAA
rnacentral:ribozyme from 1 species